UAGGGUGCGAGCGUUAAUCGGAUUUACUGGGCGUAAAGCGUGCGCAGGCGGUGAUGUAAGACAGUUGUGAAAUCCCCGGGCUCAACCUGGGAACUGCAUCUGUGACUGCAUCGCUGGAGUGCGGCAGAGGGGGAUGGAAUUCCGCGUGUAGCAGUGAAAUGCGUAGAUAUGCGGAGGAACACCGAUGGCGAAGGCAAUCCCCUGGGCCUGCACUGACGCUCAUGCACGAAAGCGUGGGGAGCAAACAGG
rnacentral:rRNA from 1 species